GACAAGCGUUACGUGUUACUGAACAGAGAAGGGAAGGGUAUCAAAUCGCGUGAUUUACUUAGACGUGGAGGAUUCCUUGCUAACCUCCCGCGCUAGUGUGCCAGGAAAUGAACGUGCAUUGGGUCCAGCUGGUGCGGCGGUGGACGGAGAUGGUCACCGAAAGAUCACACGAGCAACAAGCUCUGUUGAAAGUCACCAAGGCCGUGACUCUCGGAUUCCUCGUGAUAACGAUGUUUAAUGACGCCCAAAGUCAACAUGGGCCGUGCUUCGGGUGUGAAGAGUACCGCCAGACUCACCCCAACUCUCACCCUUACGAAAAGGUCAGAGGUCGGUGUUCUUACCCAUGUCACUGUCCAUCGGGUAAUCCCAUCUGUCCAGAGGGUGUCGCGAUCGUCACCGACGGAUGUGGCUGCUGUCCUGUUUGCGCCCGCCAACAAGGAGACGUGUGCGACAAGGUGAACGUAUGCGACGACAACCGAAACCUGAAGUGUUUCUACCAGGCCCCGCUCGAUACGACAGGAAUAUGUAACGCUCGGAAGGAAAUUGGUUGUCAAGUAGGCGGCGUGUCCUACGCAGAUGGAGAGACUUUUAAGCUGGACUGUAAAACCAAGUGCACGUGCCAAAAUGGAUCGUACGGGUGUGUGUCCCUGUGUCCUCACGAGAACAUCCGCCCUUCCCCCAAAUGCCGAAACCCUCAACUUGUACGAAUAACUGGAGCGUGCUGUAAAGAGUGGUUAUGUGAACCGAACGAAGAAAAGAUAGGUGGCUGUAUCCGACACUUCUCGCCAUGGAGCACGUGCUCAGUGACGUGUGGAGUAGGAAUAUCAUACAGGAUGACAAAUGACAACAACGACUGCUUGCCGCGGAGGGACACAAGGUUGUGUCAGCUGCGGCCUUGUGAGACCGUCCCCAUGGAAACAGGCGAAAGCACAGCGAUUCGUCAUGGCCGAAUGAGGCGCCACCGUCACUGCCGGAGUACAGUAAAAAGUUCUUUUCCCGCCAAACUCACAGACGACGGAAACUGUACCAGUGUCAGGGCUUAUCGUUCAACGUUUUGUGGGAUGUGUUCCGGGUACCAGUGUUGUCAACCUCAGUUGUCCACUACGGUCAAAGUGCCCUUUCGUUGUGGUCAUCCCGACGGCGAAACUGAAAACAUUGUUUCUAAGAACGUAAUGUUCACAGUCAAAUGUGUGUGUACAGACCACUGUUGAAAACGUCUUGGUGAAAAACAAAUGAUUAAAAAAACUACAAAAACCUAUUUUAUAAAAUGAGCUUUGUAUUUAUCAGAUUUUGAAAGUCAUAUUCCUAGUUAAGUGAAUUUAAAUCUAUGUUAUAAACAUGCAUACCAACUAGGCUUCUCUUCGUGUGAUCAUUUAUCAGAGAUAAUGAUGAAAUACGAUUUAGUUUAAGUAAUUAUAAGAGUUUUGAAAAAGCAAGGUUUAGUCAUGUGAUUAAAAAUGAUUUAGGAUUGAGGUUAAAACAAGGUUUAGUCAUGUGAUUAAAGUAAGAUUUAAUCAUGUGAUUAGAAGAGUUAGAUUAAAAAAGAUUUAGGAUUGAGGUUAAAACAAGGUUUAGCCAUGUGAUCAAAAGGAUUAGGUUAAAGUAAGAUUUAGAUUUGUGGUAAUAAAGGUUAUAUUAAAUUAAGGUUUUUAUCAGUGAUCAGAAGGGGUUAAGAUUUAUUCAUCUCAGUAGAUGGGUUGGAUCAGAGUAGGAUUUAAUACUAUGAUUAGAAGGGUUAGAUUAAAGCAAUGUGAUAAGAUCUGGUCAUUCAUAUGAUUAUAUGACAGGAGCUGUAGUAGUGGGUCAUUCAUAUGAUUAUAUGACAGUAGUGAACCGGUCAUUCAUAUGAUUAUAUGACAGGAGCUGUAGUAGUGGGUCAUUCAUAUGAUUAUAUGACAGGAGCUGUAGUAGUGGGUCAUUCAUAUGAUUAUAUGACAUGAGCUGUAGUAGUGGGUCAUUCAUAUGAUUAUAUGACAGUAGUGAACCGGUCAUUCAUAUGAUUAUAUGACAGUAGUGAAGUGAGAAUUAUUUCGUGAUUAUAAUGUGAUAAAAGUGAUUAUUUUUAAAAGACUGUCACAAAUUAAUAUUCCGUUAUAUAAUUGUUACACGAGUUGUGAUAAAUUAGAAUUUAUUCCCGAUAUUUCAUAACAAAAGGUUGUAUUAAAGCAGGAAGUAUUCAAGUAAUUAUGUUGUAAGGGUUGUGGUAAAACAGAAUUUAGUUUGUUCAAGAUUUCUCGAGAAAAGGCUGAAUGGAUUAGGACGUAAGUUGGUAUACAUUUGAACAAUGACUCAACUUAGAAGUGGUUAAUUUUUGUUAGCAUGGCGACCGAUUUCUGCUCUAUAAUUCAGUCAAAAAAUGGUCGAAUUUUGAUGAAACGUUUGUGGACAUAUGUGGUAUAUCAUUGUCCUGACAAAAAUGGUCCGUGUCCGUUGAUAACGACGUACAUACGAACAAACAAUCCUAUUUUUUGCGGGCCGAAUAUGAUCAACUCUGCGUGGCUUGGCGGAGCUAUGUGAUCUACUGUGUGCCCCCCCCCCUCUAGUUUUAAGGACUACUAUAAGGUUGUUUUUGUAUUCAUUGGAGACCUCUGGUGAUGCGACUGAUUCUACUUUCUAUGAUAGUGUAACGUGGCUGAUACAGUAAAAGGAAAAUAAAAUAACUUGUAAAGUAAGAUCUCCGGUUGUUAGGAUAUUACUGUUAUCGUUACUCGUUUAUAUGUCAAAAAAGUGAGGACCCAAUUAUUAAAUAAACGGUGAGGCUAGAUACCUGGUAAUGUGGUUAUUACAGAAAUUGUGAGGUUAGAUACCUGGUUAUUACAGAAAUUGUGAGGUUAGAUACCUGGUUAAUACAGAAACGGUGAGGUUAGAUACCUGGUUAAUACAGAAACGGUGAGGUUAGAUAUAUGGUUAAUACAGAAACGGUGAGGUUAGAUAUAUGGUUAUUACAGAAACGGUGAGGUUAGAUACCUGGUUAUUACAGAAACGGUGAGGCUAGAUACCUGGUUAAUACAGAAACGAUGAGGCUAGAUACCUGGUUAUUACAGAAACGGUGAGGUUAGAUACCUGGUUAAUACAGAAACGGUGAGGUUAGAUACCUGGUUAUUACAGAAACGGUGAGGUUAGAUACCUGGUUAAUACAGAAACGGUGAGGUUAGAUACCUGGUUAUUACAGAAAUUGUGAGGUUAGAUAUAUGGUCAAACAACUGGUAACGUCUAAUAUCUAGUUGUAAUCUGGUUAAAUUACUGGUAACGUCUAAUAUCUAGUUGUAAUCUGGUUAAACUACUGGUAACGUCUAAUAUCUAGUUGUAAUCUGGUUAAACUACUGGUAACGUCUAAUAUCUAGUUGUAAUCUGGUUAAACAACUGGUAACGUCUAAUCUCUAGUUGUAAUCUGGUUAAAUUACUGGUAACGUCUAAUAUCUAGUUGUAAUCUGGUUAAAUUACUGGUAACGUCUAAUCUCUAGUUGUAAUCUGGUUAAACUACUGGUAACGUCUAAUAUCUAGUUGUAAUCUGGUUAAAUUACUGGUAACGUCUAAUAUCUAGUUGUAAGAAAUGGGUGAAUUAGAUUAGUAUUCAUGUUGAUCAAGAAGACAUUUAUCUUAUCAUGUAUAUAGUCCUACCAAAUUAUGAUGUGUAAAAUUGUAUUGUAAACGUACUUCUAAUAAUGGAUAAGCUGGACGAUCUUAUUGUAAACAAACUUCUAACACUUUAUGAGAUGCAAAAUGUUAUUACAAACAUAGUUCCAACAACGCAUGGACUAUUAAAUCUUGUUUCAACAACGCAUGGCCUAUUAAAUCAUGUUCCAAAAAUACAUGGCCUAUUACAUCUUGUUCCAACAAGGCAUGGCCUAUUAAAUCAUGUUCCAACAACGCAUGGCCUGUUAAAUCUUGUUUUAAACUUAUUCCUAUAUUGUAUAAGUUAGAAAAUCUUAUUGCAAGCGGAAUUCUAACAAUGCAUAACCUGGAAAAUCUGGUUAUACACGUAUUUCCAUAUUGCAUAAGCUAGAAAAUCGUAUUUUUAAUAAACUCCUAACAAUCUUGAAAUGGAAAAAUCUUAUUGUAAACGUACCCCUAACAAUCAUGAAAUGGAAAAAUCUUAUUGUAAACGUACCCCUAACAAUCUUGAAAUAGAAAAAAUCUUAUUAUAAACGCAGCCCUAACAACGUAUGAGCUAGCAAACCUUAUUGUAAACGUGGCCCUAACAACGUAUGAGCUAGCAAACCUUAUUGUAAACGUAGCCCUAACAACGUAUGAGCUGGCAAAUCUUAUUGUAAACGUAGCCCUAGCAACGUAUGAGCUGGCAAAUGUUAUUGUAAACGUAGCCAUAACAACGUAUGAGCUAGUAAACCUUAUUGUAAACGUAGCCCUAAGAACGUAUGAGCUGGCAAAUCUUAUUGUAAACGUAGCCCUAACAACGUAUGAGCUGGCAAAUUUUAUUGUAAACGUAGCCCUAAGAACGUAUGAGCUGGCGAAUCUUAUUGUAAACGUAGCCCUAACAACGUAUGAGCUGGCAAAUCUUAUUGUAAACGUAGCCCUAAGAACGUAUGAGCUAGCAAAUCUUAUUGUAAACGUUAGAUGAUAAAUAAUUCAUAUAAAAGAAACACUGUUCAUCAUCUAAGCGUCAUUUUCUAGUAAACAUAUCCAAAGAAAUAUUGUCGAAAUAUACGUAAUUAUGAUAUCAUUUAUCCACAAGGGGGCACAACAACAAUAUGGCCGAUCUUUAAUAGGCCUAACGUUGGGACCAUAUCAUGGAAACUAUCUUAGUUUGCUGUUAUCACAUAUUCGGUAAAUAACGUGACCAUCUAUCUAAACUUAUCACAUUUAGCUGUGAUGGUUCUUUAAAACGUCACAAGCUUUACUUUGUAUAUCAGAGUGGAGUGCCUGCAAUUAUGUAAGAUACAAAUCAACCUGACUAUGAAAUUUUUUUUCUUUUCCUUUCUCUUCGUACCAGCAGUAUAAAUGUUCUAGAUUUAUAUAUGUAUGUGCUAUAUUUCUAAAUGUUGGUUUUAAACUUCUAAUACCUUAGGUAAUAUCCUAACUGGUAAACAAAACAACUGGUUAUUUAUAAUAUAAGUGUAUUACUUGUGUAACGUUCCUCUACCGAGUGAUUUUGGAAGUUAAUCGUGAAGAAGAAGAAGAAAACGCCAAUGAACACGUGUUAAACACAUAUAUAAUUCCACGUGCAAGUACAGCGUCGACUUUGGAAGGUAUAUUUAAUUAUACUUCUGUCUGUUUUCACUGUGAAUAAACUGGAAUUAUCUUUAU
rnacentral:misc_RNA from 1 species